rnacentral:rRNA from 1 species
GACGAACGCUGGCGGCGUGCUUAACACAUGCAAGUCGAACGGAAAGGCCCUGCUUUUGUGGGGUGCUCGAGUGGCGAACGGGUGAGUAACACGUGAGUAACCUGCCCUUGACUUUGGGAUAACUUCAGGAAACUGGGGCUAAUACCGGAUAGGAGCUCCUGCUGCAUGGUGGGGGUUGGAAAGUUUCGGCGGUUGGGGAUGGACUCGCGGCUUAUCAGCUUGUUGGUGGGGUAGUGGCUUAACAAGGGUUUGACGGGUAGCCGGCCUGAGAGGGUGACCGGCCACAUUGGGACUGAGAUACGGACCAGACUCCUACGGUAGGCAGCAGUGGGGAAUAUUGCACAAUGGGCGGAAGCCUGAUGCAGCAACGCCGCGUGCGGGAUGACGGCCUUCUGGUUGUAAACCGCUUUCGCCUGUGACGAAGCGUGAGUGACGGUAAUGGGUAAAGAAGCACCGGCUAACUACGUG